UUCUUUCUCCAACUAAAGCCCCUCCCCCUUUCCCAUUUCACUAUUCAAAUUACUUUUUAUCCCUGACAGUAGUCUCUCUAGUGCUACCUCCAGUCAGGAGAAAUACUUUUUCGUAUCCUUCUAGGUGUUUUGGAAGUGUCUGGAGACAUUGACGGUAGUUGCGAGUGGCUAAUGUUGUUCAUGAUUCUAAUAGAAGCCAGAGAUGCUCCUAAGAAACUCACAAUGCACAGGAAAGGUACAGUUCAAUAAACGUAGAGCCCCAGACCCUAAUAGUGUCAGCGUCUAGGCAGUUCUCCCAAAUGCCAGUCACUUGAAAAGUGUUAGGGGACAAAGUCACAGAGGAAGUGGUUAUGACUACAUAUUUUCUUUUACACAUUUUGAGCGGUGGUGGUCACUUCAACACAGACAGACUGCUGUAGAGCCCAUCCUUGGUUUGGAAGGCUUGUGGUAGGAGGGACCCUGAACUUUGAGCUUACUUAGUCUCACGAUGAACCUCUCAUGUCAGAGUUUUUGUUGGAUUCUUUCUCCCCAUCCUGCCUUCAGAAUCUGAAUUUUGCAGUUCAGAUGAGGUAAGUGGGACUUCACUAUCUUCCUGCCUGAGCCUUUAUGCCUUGGUGGGGAGACACAGAAGUGGUCGUCGUCUUGUCCUGCUCUCACCUGAUCUCCUGCUCAUGGGCUUUGUUCUGGGCAUGGUGCUACUUUCCUUGGCUAGAGCAUUGUAAACAUUUCAUGCUUCUCUCUGCCAAAUGUUUCCCCAAAUGCACCAUCUUUAUUGUGUCUGAACCCACAGUAGCUGUUUAAAAUAAUGUUGUUCCCUAUCUGGUAAUAAAAGCAACCCAGACAUAUGAAAGACAACAUAGAAAAAUAAAUUAUGCCAAAAAGUCUAUAAAUUGCCAUAAAUUGUUAUAGCUGGCUAACAGUUUGAUGUGAUUGUGUUUGAAGUAUACAUAUUAUAUAAAGUUUUCCAUUGUCUCUCACUCUCACUUAUUUAACAUACAUCAUGAUUUGUGUUAGUUAGCUUAAUGUUGAUAUAACAAAUACCCAGGAUAAUUAAAUUACACGGGGAAAAGGUUUAUUUUUAGCACUGAGAUUUGGAGAAUUAGCUCCUGAUUUGGCUGAAUCACUGCUUUUUCGGCCUCUGCUGAGGAGCACAGAGUAGGCCAACCCACUCAUUCUCGGUUAACAAGCAAUACAGACAGGAGGAGGCCACAGUGCAGCAACGCACCUUGAGAACAUGUCCCCAAUGGCCUUUCUCUGUGCACCUCUGAAAAGUCCCACAGCGUACCAAAAGUGCCACUCUGGGGACCACGCCUUCAAUCCCUUUGUGUGACAUUUGCAAGCUAAACCACAGAACAGCUCUUCCUGUGGUGUAAAGUAUUUCUGAAACGUGGUUUUGAUUCCUGUCUAAGAUUCAUUCCUGUGACUGUGUCACAAGUGACAUCAUCCCUGUGUCUGGAUCAUAAGUGACAACUGUUCCUUGUGAGACAUUCUGUUCACACCCAGUGUUGUCACUUCUGUGAUUGGUGCUGUAAAGUGAACAUCCUUAGGGGAAAUCCUUAACUAGUGCCUGCUUAUUUCCUUAAAAAACAUCAUUAUUGCCAGAACUGAACUAACUGGACUCAAACUUGAACAUUUAAGUUACGCGAUUCGUAUUACCAAAUUACUAUCCCAGUGACAGUGUUACUAACCUUUAUUCAUGAUACUAUCUUGAUGGUUCAGAGACAUUCUAAACUUUUGAAGUUCCCAGGAUAGGUCAGCUCACAAUCACCUGUAACUCUAGCUCCAGAGGAGCAGAAACCUCUCUGGACUCUGUGGGUACCCGCACUCAUAUGCACAUCCUCCACCCCAAACACACAUACACAUAUAUUUUUUAAAAAACACUUAAUAGAAUGGGUCAUAUAUUCACCUGUAUGGCUUUUCUCUUACUGAGUCACAGUGGCCAUUUUAUAGGUGAGAAAAGUAAGACCUGAAGAAACUGGGAGCCUAGUGUGUGGCUCCAGAGCUAGUGUGAGCAUGCUCAAACCCUCCUUUUCACUCUUGUGCUGGCUAGUCUCAUGUUAACUACUUGAGACAAGCUGGAGUCAUUUUGGAGGAAGGAGCCUCAAUAGAGAAAAUAUCUACACUAGAUUAGCCUGUGGGAAACCCUGGGGCAUUUUCUUGAUUAGUGUUUUGGGGGUGGGGGUGGGGGAGUGUGAUCGCUGUAGGUAGUGUCACUCCUGGGCGGAUAGUCCGAGUUGCAUUUUUAAAAGCAGGUUGAGCAAGUCAUGAGGAGCAAGCCAGUGAGCAGUGUUCCUCCUCAGUCGCUGCUUUAGUUCCUGGCUUCAGGCUCUUGCCUCGAGUUUCUGCUUUGACUUUCCUGGAUGGUAGAAACCUUAGACCUUUAGAUCUGUCACACAAGCUCUAAGAUAAAAUAAAUCCUUUCCUUCCUAUGUUGUUUUGGUUAUGAUAUCUUUAUCACGAUAGAAACCUAGCUGAGACAGACGUGCCCUGGAGACACUGGAACAAUUCCCUUGCCUGGUCUCCUGCCAGACAAACUGACUAGGAUUUUGGGAAAUGAAGGUGGAACCCUGACAUUUUCUAAGGCACACUAAAUGAUUUCAUCAUGUAGCCUUCUCUGAAGGGUUGAGAACACUGUAGUCUGUCUAGAGUCAUAAGACACUCCAUUCCUACUGUCACCUCCUGAUUGGUACUCUUUCCAGAGCCUGAUGCUAAGAUUUCAUUGACUUCUCAUUCAUUGGGGACCUGUGAGGUGUCUCAGUGCGUGGCAUGCUCACUGUGAAAACCUGGAGACCUGAGUUUGAUCCUCAGAACCCACAAAAAAAAUGUAAGGAGAACUACCAACUCUACAAAUUUGUCCCAUGCCCUUCACAUACUUGCCACUGUACACAUGUGUCCUCCCUACUCACACACAACACACAUCCAUCUUAUAUAUGCACACACAAAUAAUAACAAUAACAAUAAAAUAAUGACUAAAUAAAUUAAAAGAAGGUUGAGACUUGCUUCUGUACUGAGGAGUGGUAUUGCACGUGUUCUUGUUAUCUUGGCCUGGGCUGUACUGUCUUUCAAACAUGUUCUUACUGAAAACACAAAGACAAUAAAGGCACAGGCAAGGGUUGGUGUGAGGGUGUCAGCCAGUUGCGAAGGUUGGAGGGCAAGUGCCACAGCACAGGAGAUACUUCAAACUAUUUUUCAGCUACUGGUUAUCCUCCAUGUGAAAUAAAUAUUGACUAUAUUCAGCAUCACCAAGUUAGGUUUUGGGUUCUCUCUCCCCAGAAUUUCCCUGCUGUUGGAAUCAAUUCUCGAACUCCCGGUGACAGUGAUAUGCAGGGGAGACUGGUCAGCGUGGUUCUCUUGGGCUGGUUUUCAUUUGUGAGGGCUCCGAUGGCAAGUACGGCUAACCAGGGGCUUAAACAACAGCGAUUUCCCUCUGGACAGGUUACAAGCCUGGAAUCAGGUUACUGCCGGAGAGUGUCCUUCCAAGGCUUCCUCGUGGGCUUGCUGAUGCCACCAUUGGCUGCCUUCACAUGACUGUGAGCAUCUCUGCUGUCCCUGAACCCUUCUCAGAGAGGGGGUCACAGUAAGUGCUGAAGCUGAUUUUCUCUUUUGCCCUGGAGAUAAACUCCUGAAAAACAAACAAACAAGCAAACAAACAAACAAACAAACAAAAAGCAACCUAAAGGAGAAGAAUUAAUUCUGGCUCCUGGUUUGAAGGCUACAGUCUAUGGGAAUACAUGGCUGCUAAAUUGCAAUAGCAUAGGGUGACUAUGGUGGCUGACGGUAUUGUGUUUAUAGUCAGUAUGCAGGGCUGUUCUCCAGCUCUCUACACCCAACCUUAGAAUCUGCCAGCUGGGUCCCAAGCUCCAAAAGCUACAAGCCUCCCAGAACAGUAACAAGAGCUAAGGACCAAGUGUUCAAAACACGUUCCUUCUGGGACAUUUCACAUUCAAACACAACAAAACUCAAGGCUCCAAAUAUAGCCCACGAGGAACAGGUAAGGCAUCGAUGUUAUAAAUUGAGGAGGGGAUGCUCGCAGGCAAUAUUGUGCCUGUAAAUGGGGUGCUGAACUGUGUGAAGUGUUUUUCUUAAAAAGUGCCAGACUAGUCCCAGAUAGAGACAAUGUUCUUAAAGUGACUUUUCCAUAUGUACAUACGUACUCAUGUAUGUAUGUCUGUAUGUAUGUAUCCAUGCAUGUAUAUAUGUACACACACACAAACACACAUACACACAUACGUUGUCAUACUAUAAUGAGGGAUUCCUAAAGGUACCCAGUGGGUAGACACAAGGGAUAGAGUUUAAUGUCCUACCCUUUCUCACACAGUGACAAAGACCAAUCUGGUCUAAAAUGCCCAGUAGCAUUUUGCCAAGGUCAGAGCAGAGCACUGGAUUAGGGAGCCCUUGGUUUGAAUUUCUCUUGGGACAGCUGUUAGAUGUGUGCUGAGCAGCACAUCCCUUCUGUAAAUGUCCUCAUUGGCAAGUCCCUAUGGUAGGGCAAAUGAGACCAUCUAGUACAGAUUUUUGCUCAUGGCCCUAUUCUGGGAGGUCCUCGGCAGCCUUCAAGUGCUUUCUCACACACAGAAUCAAUUAGCACUGGGCAGGGUCUGGUAAGACACAAGUAGAGCAGUCGAGGGCAGGUAGGCCACAAGAAGGCAAAGGCCAUGGCUUGUAGAAAUAGAUUGGAUCCUGUAUUAUCUUUGGAUGGUUUCCAAUCUCAAACAUGUCAACUUCACCGAGCAGAGCAUGGCUUGAGUUAGGGGCAGUCCUGUCUCUGACCGUAAAAGGCCGAGUCAUGUGUUUCCAGCGUAUGUGCCUCCUGCCGCCGCUUCCCUGAAAUCCGUUAGAAAGGGAUUGUCAGACACAUCAGAUUUCUUCUUCACAGUGUCAGGUCCAAAAGGCCCAGAGGUGACAGCGAAAGCUGAGGAGAGGAGAGGGUGGUGUGACCCUAUCCCCACCUCAUGUCAGAGUUUUCGGACACCCCCUUCUUCUACCCCCUGCUAUCCUCAGGGUUUUCUGCUAAUUAAUACAUUCCUAUGCUCUGUAGCCACAGAAAGAAGAUCUGAUUUGUCUUUCAUUAGCUUCCCCCAGCCCUGCUACACAAAGCUGCCUUUGCUUCAUGGGCCAUCCUGUUACUAAUGUCGUCCACUCUGGGGACCUAGUGGAGUGAAGACGGUUCCUGCACACUGUGGGAAACAGCUCCAUAUGGGGUUGUUGCAGCUUCCCUGUUACCCUCAUUCAAAGUCUUCAGCGAUCUCUUAGACUCAUGUCUGGGUCUGGGGGCCUGGAUGAGAUGUAAAUGUUCAGUAAAUGUCAAGAGCCAGCCACCUCCAGACAUGUCGUCCAGUAGUUGUCCAUAGCUCCGUAGUCCAACCCUGUCUAUGUGUGUUAGAGUAGACGCUUAUGAAAUCCCUCUUAAAAGGAGAAGGGGGUGCUAAGUAGUUUUAAAUUCCUCUUUAACCUAUAGCUGCCAUCGACUGACCACCUGCCAGGGAUUUGCCCUGUGUGCACAGGCUCGCUUAACGUUCACAAAAUUCUCAGAGCCAGAAUUUUUUACCUUCAGGUUACAGGUUAGGGCAACAGAAUCCCACACCCUGAAUAAGGAAGGCAGUGCUAAGCAGGGCCUUGAGGGCCGUUCCUAGCUCCUCACCACUACCAAACCUCCCACUGAAAAUUAAUCUAGUAAGAGUGAUGACAUUAGGAUGGCACAUAAUAAACAAAGCCACGUGUUCUAAAUAUUCUAGCCGUGCGGCUCAGUCCGGUAUUUUGUGACAAAGGUGUUGAAAGCAUUUUUUUUCAUGGGGAACGGGUUGAAAACCCAGCGAGGGCUUGCUCACGUCUGUUCCUCGGGGUGGUGUUACCUAUUCAAGGAGAGCACAGACCUGCCCAUGGAAUCCUGGUGCUCCUUUCCUCAGGGUGGCAGGACCCCAGGCAUCCUAAGUUUUUGAGGAACCUGUUACCAUUUCCAUGAAUGCUAUGCUAGUCUGCAUCCCAGCAAUGGUGCUAGGACACUCCCGUUCAUCUUUGGUGGCCCUUGUGAAUGCUUGCCCUUUUCCUGGUCGCCUUCCUAAGAGGUAGCAAGCAUGUCACUGUGCUUGGAUGAAUAUCAUGUCACUUUAGGUUGUAUAUGAAACAAAUGCUUUGCAAAAAUAGAGAGUUUUUUUUCUAUGAUAUAAUUGCUCUGCCCUGUAAAUGGAAUGAGCACAUUCAUUCAGCUGAACAUGGGAGAAUUCUUACUUACAGGGUAAUGUCUUCCUUUCUAUUGUCCCCCAUCCCAUAAUAGUGAUUUCUUCACUACAUAUUCCGAUUCAACCAUCAUUCCAUAAAGCGUACAGAUCAUCCAGUAGGCAGAUAGAAAUGAUCCUCGGUUUCUGCAGCCACAGGAGCAGGCAUUUGCUGGAAUGCAGGUCCACCAUUAACAAUGGGAGGAUGCCUGGCACAGGUGCAUGAGCACUGAGCAGGGACCUCGCCUGUCAGGGGACUCUCCUAGGGAAUUUCUUGAGAGGUAGAAUUGAAUUGUUCUUGAAGAAUCAGGCAGAAUUGGGAUGGGCAACAGGAGGCUAUACCUUGAGUAAGGAAAGAACCCAUCAAGUCCAAGCACAGUAAAUGAGAAAAAGGAAGGCUUUCAGGAAGAGCAAAGAACAUGUGCAGACCAAGAGAGCGGGGAUGACGAGGGGAGCAAGAAUGGAAAGCAGAGCUAUUCUAGAAAUACUGGAGUACAUCAUAUGUCAGUAACUAACCAGCAGUCAGUGCCGCAAAGGAGCAGCACAGCCCUGGGACUUCACAGACCCGCGUUCCCACUAGAUGCCAGUGCAUGUUAGCAUGCGGCUAAUCCCAGACUGAGAAAGGCCAAUUGUCUUCUUCCUUCCUUCGGGAGAAGUUGCACAGUGAAGACAGCACUUUGCAUUCCGCCCUCUUGCAACUGGCAGAGUGUCUGAAGCUGUGCUUUGUCCCAUAGUUAUGAUCCAUGACAAUUACAUUACCUAGAUAACAGUCCUUAGAGCGAGGGUGACAAAUUCAUCACCGGCACUUAAAUCAACGCCUGGUCACUUAAAUAAAUAUCCGCUUGGCUUCGUUACUUUUCUGUCACUGUCAGUGAGAAAGACUUCCUGGGAUCUUUUGUUUGGUGCUAGAAAUGAAAACCCGAGGAAUGGGAAAAAUGAAAGACGGGUUUUUCACACACUGUAAAUAUCCAUGUUCUGAGAUAAAUGUGCAGUUCUGAAUACCUAAGGAAAGUAUUUGGCCCCAGGGUAUGAACAGGUAUCCCACUCACCUGGAUAUGGAAAUCUCCUAGAAAGAAAAAUAUGCAAAAAGUACCCAAAACCCCAUUGUGGCACUUGUCAAUUUGGGAGAACAAUUUGUGAAUGUCUCUUUUUAAGCUCUUCCUAAUCUCCAAUGAGUCUCCUUUCUUCUCUCACAACUGGGACAGUUCCUGGCAUGAUUUUUGAGCACUGAAAAGGGAUUUCACCUGCGUGCCACUCCAGGCUUAAGACAGGGUGUUCUCUUCUCUCUCGUGCCCUUUCGUAAAAGUACUAGUCUACAUCCUAUGGUAGUUUGCUAAGCACUGACUUCAUAAAGUAGGCACAGGAUGUAUAAGGUACUUUAGAGGAAUAAGUUAACCAAAUGGUUUAGCACUUAAAUGCUAGAGUUGAAUUUGAACCCAGGCAAAUGAGGCCAAACCAUGGUUUUCUGUCACACUGUGCCAUCUUUCUGUGGUAUCUGGACUUGUAGCUUAGUAUUUUUGUUCUGACCUCUUAAAUUCCUAGAUCGUAGUUUUCACAGAACUUUCUCAGACGACACUGAAGCAAGGGUUAUUCAAAGAGGAAGAGGGAGGCAGAGAGAAAGACAGAAAGCCUCUAGGAUGCAUGCCUAAGAUGCUGUGGCUAGAACAGAUAGCAUCCCGGAAUCUUCUACCAUAAACAAGGUGGUUUUGAACGGGGUCCUCAGGUCUCUGGCUCUGCAUUUGAAAGCCGAAAGAUGGGAUCAGAUGCUCUCUGGCUUCAUUCAGUCUCCCAAUCUAUAAAUCUAAUUUACUUAGCAAACAGAGAGAGAGAGAGAGAGAGAGAUGUGAUGGGGGGUGGUGGUGAGAAUGGGAGAUAGGUUUCACCAGCGGGAUCUAAUUCAGUUUGGGGUUUUAUAUUACAGGGACAUGUUAGUUAGAGCUCUGUAGACUGCAAUUAUAAAAACCCAACCUGAACCAAGCUGCUUACUUUCAAACUGGGGGGUUUAUUGAUUUUGUGACUGGGAUGCAUCAUGGAUUCCAAAGAUUUGGAGGCAUGUGAGCUUCAUUUGGGAAGGGCUUGUCUACUGGAGCUAAGAGCUCCCAUAUCUUUGCCCCUCUGCCUCUCUGAUGCUUGGAUUCUCUUGAAGAAUGUUUACCUGACCAAGUGACUAGAAAUAAAUCUCUUAUAUUUGAUUCAAUUCUACAGGAAGCUAUUUUUCCAGCCUGGGUCAUAUAUUAGUUACUCCUGUGUCACUGUGACUAAAGUACCUGCCAGAAACAACUUAAAUGACGAAGGGAUCGUCUGAGUUUAUAGCUUUGGUUCAGUCCAAAUAUCUUGACACUACCCACUUGAACAAAACAUCAUGGUGGCAGGAGGGUGUGGCACAGGCUGUCACAAAGGAUGGGAGGAAGAGGAAUGCAGAAUGCUGGCAUUCAGCUAGCAUUAUUAUUUUUUUUUAAUCUAUUAUUUUACUCCAUGCAGGCUACCAGCCAUAGUGUAUUGCCAAGCAUGUUCAGUGAGGGCCGUCUACUCUCAUUUAAUCCUUUCUGGAAAUACGCUCAGAAAAAACCCAGAGGAAUGCUCCCCCAAUUUCCUAUGCAGCUCUAAAGACAGCCAAGUUGAUGAUAUUGAUUAAGCCUCAGCUCCCAUUGGACUGAUCGACUGCAGCCAACUGGAUAGAAUUAGGUAGUAGAGAUAAUGUAACCCCAUGUGACUCUGAGCAGAGAACAAUCCCAGCCACUAAGGAGUCAGGUUGAAUCUUUCUAGAUGAGGAGGAUGAAAGGCCCCAUGCAUCCUGUUGAAGACUGUGCCGAAGAGCAGCUGAAGGACUUAGCUUUGCUCAUGGGCAGUGGCUGGCUGAAUUAAGACUGGAAGACACAUCUUAGAAUGUUUGCUCUCUUUACCUAGGUGAGAAUAAUACAUUAAAUUUCAUUAGGAAAGCUAAUAACUUAUUUGAGGCUUUAUAACCACUUUGAGAUAAUUCUAAGCACAAGAGAAAAAGGAAUCUAAAGAAUUACUCCCCUUCCCUUCCUAUGAGAUAUACAUAUCUGUUCUUGUACAGAUUGAUCUGGGUCAAUGUAAAAUUGAAUAUUGCAAUGUUCCCCUCCAAAGUAAGCCUCCACUCAAUUCCUAACUUUAUAAAACUGUCAGAAAGAUUUUAUCUAACCAUUAAAAGUUGAGCAUUAAAUGUAUCUUACAUUUCUUAUAACUCUCGAACCUCUCACCUCUCCGUUCCCAGUCUAGAGCCACAAGGUAUCCUUGUGGCAUUGCUACCAGUGAGAUGUGUUUGAGGGGCUGGGGCACUUGAGUUGUGGAAGAAUUUUCUUUGUGUGAAACUCAGCUCAAGCUCUGUCACGCUUGAUGGAGCUGUUUAUGAACUACCUCCUUUCAACCCCAACCAGCAGACCCCUGGCUGCAUUUCACAAGCUAUUAAAAACACGAGUGCUCUCUUUGCUUGUGUGUGUGGCAUCUAACCAUUUAUUUUGAAUAUUGCAUAUUUGGAAAAGCAUUCAAAAUAGAAAAUGACAGCUUUGGGGGAUUUUGCCUGUGCCCCGAGUGAACUGGGUCUCUAAUCUGAAACAUACUCACAUUAUGCAGGAAUGAUGGCCGCGGUCUGAUGCUGGGGAUUUUUUUUUUUAAUACUUGAAAGCUCUAUUUUUCUAUUUUCAGGGAAUUUUGUUUUGAUUUCUGCUUUCCAUAGACAGUAGCAGACACUCACCUCCCUUAAUCAUUCAUGGGCUUCCUUGCUGUUUUUAUUUUGGCUCCAAAGAGUUUUUCCCUUCUCCAAAAAUACCCUCCAAACCAUACAAGAUUUUUCUCAGUAUUAUUUAAACCAAUACAAUCUUCUGUUAAGUGAUGUCCCUACACUUUAUUGACACUUUCAGGAACAUUUCAUCCUUCGGUAAACCUGUGAAACAGUGAUCAUUCUUCCCUCCCUGUUGUGGACAGAUGAGGAACUUGAACUUCUGAGGGUGACUGAAGGUCACGCAAGGUCAUAUCGGUGCCCGGGGUCUAUGUCUAAAGUGCCUACACUUCUUAAUCAUCCAUCUGUCCAACCACCCAUCCUUCCCAAAGCAAUAAUUACACUCCAGCAAAAGAGUCAACAGGCCAUCGGCUACCUCAGGAGCCUCUGGAAGCUCUCAGAAACUCAAUGUAAUAGAGUUGUUAGGUUUUCUAGCAGGGCUGGAAAAUUGCUCACACCAGAAGACAGUGGCUAAGCAUUAUCAUGUUUGGUAGCACCUACUCAACUACGCUGAAGGAUGCUUAAGCUAACACAAGCUCUUGCUCAUGCAGUCCACAUGGGCAGCUGCUUUUCCUAGUGAGGGCUAAGUCCAUGCUGACAGCUCCAGAGUGGGUGGGAGGGGCUCCUUUGCUCUUCUCCUGGCUCAGCUGGCAGUAUCUCAACCAUACUAUUAUACUGACAGCAAAGAACACACCAGUCAUCCAGUUCUCUUUGCCUUUCCUCCAUACUCACUAUUGGUGGCUGGUGAUUGGAAUUUCUUACAAGGAAAGCAAUAGUGUCCUUGGGGAUGGAGAGAUGGCUCAGUGGUUAGGAGUAUUUGCUAGCAUCACAGACGACUUCAGUUUGGUUCCUAGGACCCUUAUGGGGUAGCUUUUAGCUGUCUGGAACUCUAAGCCCAAGGGAUCUGAUGCCCUCUCUUUUGGCUUUCAUAGGCACCAACAAGCAUGUGGUAGACAUAAAUACAGGCGUGCAUAUGCACAUGCACACAUAUGUACAGAUAAAAGGAAUAUGUUAAUCUUUUAAAAGGAAGAAUUAAAGAAAAGAAGAGGGCCAAGAAGUGGGAGUGAGUGGGUAGGGGAGCAGGGCAGGGGGAGGGUAUAGGGGACUUUUGGGAUAGCAUUUGAAAUGUAAAUGAAGAAAAUAUCUAAUAAAAAAAAGAAAAGUAGAAAGAAGGGAGAAAUAAUGAAAAAAAAAGGAGGGAAGACAGACAUAGAGAAAGACAGUUGUGUUCUAGUCAGAGGUUGGCACACAUUUAAUAAAGGACCACAAACAUAGGAUCAUAUGAGGUACUUGCCUUGGCAGCAAGAUACAUGAAGAACAUUGAAAAACUCAAUAAUUAAGAUAAAAAGUAUUUUAAUACACGUGUUUUUAAAAAUUAAAAUUAGAGUUGCAUAUUCAACAAAAUGUCAAAACCUAAAGACCAGCUCCUUCCAGUGUCCUUCAGCACCAUGCAGAUGAGUGCAUAAUCAGAAAUAAUAAUUAUCAAUACUGCAUGCUAGAAAGAGUAUUGAUAUCCUAGGCAGAAUUUGCUCAGUAUUUAGCUGUGUCACUCCUCAAGACCUUAAAACCCUCCUUAUGUUCUUCCUCCAGGUCUCCUUUAGUUGUAAUUGUACCUUGCUGCCCCUCACUGUUCUUAAGCCAGGACAUGCAGGGAACCCUUGUGCCUGGAAAUGACUCUGUAUCUCUCCUACUAAUGAGUGGAGCUGCUGAGAUGGAGGCUUCACUGGCCUCACAAGCCUGCUAGACAUCUUAUUAUGUGGCCAUGGUAAAGGAGGCAGGUGGUUAGAGAUUCCUUUGCAAAUGCUUGUUUGAUCCCAGAGCCAGAUUUCAAAACAUUAUGUCUUGCUCCCACUAAUUAGCUGCCCAGUAAGCAAGAUUAGUGAUAAAUAUGUUUAGUUUCUGCAUUACAUCUUUGUUGUGCACUGAGAAAAAACCUUGCAGAAUCCAACUGGAGUAGAACAAGGUGAAAAGGAAGUGGGCUUUCUGGUUUGGUGCCACUUGAAUACUGUGUUUGCUUAGAUACCAUUUGUUUGGAGUGUCUACAUCUCAGCUGAGGUCCUAGGUUGGGUGAACAAGGGCUGCCCAGGUGAGUCACUGGCUCUUCUCCCACUGGCUUUUCUCCGAUAGACUCACAUCUCUACACAAACGGUUUGACAAUGUAAAUUUCUUACAAUGUAAGACUACAGUUCACAAACUGUGCUUCAUGUUGGGGUUGAAAAAAUUUGCUGUAAGACUCCAUGUUGCUCAAGAAUGCACCAUACUCCAUAACAGAAGGGGAGAAACCAUUCCUACUUCUCUGCUAGUAGGCUUCCCAGAGCACAGCCUAAGAGACAAAGCAAGUUAUCAGCCUCUCCCUGGCCCUGGAGUCUAUUGUGUGCCAUGAGCUCUUUACAUGAGCAGUUCUCAUACAUGCACCCUUUCCUGAGCCAUUUCGAAGGGUUAGCAUGUCAUCUCUGUCCUGCCUCUGGUGCUCCUGGACCAUGGUGGACUAAAAUAACAACCAGUCUACCAAGAUAUGUCUACUGGUGCCACAAUGGCAUCCCUAUUAUGGGAAUAACCAACAGCCUUAUGAUUGGACUUGAGCCUCACUUCUGAAGAGGGAAUUCAUUGCUAGUACUGUAACCUGGUCAAAAGCCCAGGUCCUGGGAGGAGGGAGGACCUACUAAUGUUGUUUUACUAAAUUUAUAUAUUGUCAAACUGCCUUCUAAAUAUUUAUGUUUAUACACAUUUACUAGCAUGACUCUCAGCCUUCAUCAGAGAAGCGUCUUUUAUGGUAUGUGAUGGUUAAUACAGAGAUUCACAGCUGGGAAGUGCUGAGAAUAAACAACUGUUGAGUGCUUGGCUCUAAAUAGGAUAACUGCACCAUGAUGUCCAACACUUGGGGCAUUGCCACAGAAAGAAGCCACAAGCCAGAGAGUAGGGACGGUUACUGAGAAGCUGUGACUUCUGGACAUGAUGUGAUGUUUGUACCGUGAACUUAUUGCAGCUGUGGUUACCAACACAGGAAUGGGCUAGUGGACAUUCUAACAUGCAUGGAGCUCCAGGUUCAUGAGGCCGUGGCUCUCCCUGAGGGCCUAUGGUCAAAUAUGCAACCACACUCAAAGGGAGAUGGAUUCCAGUCCCCCAACUUCCUCCACCAAACACACUCAACAUCAAAGUAAGGGGCAUUUUGGGGAAUAACAAAAUUUAGGUGGGAGAGAAAAAGAGACAAGAAGGAGAAAUGGAAGUAAAAAUGACUAAUUAUUGUACACAUACAAGAAAUUAUCAAAGAAUAAAUAAAGCAUGGGCAUAUAAUUACAAUGCAAUUUAAAACAUGAAACAAAAAUCAUGAUUCAACCCAAAAUCUAUUGACAUUUCAUUGAAUAAAAAUCUAAACUUUUUAAAAAACAGUAUAUAGUGAGUUUUGUUUGUUUGUUUUUUGUUUUUUGUUCUUUUAAAGUAACAUGUCUUAGUUAGGGUUUUACUGCUGUGAACAGACACCAUGACCAAGGCAACUCUUAUAAGGACAACACUUAAUUGGGGCUAGCAUACAGGUUCAGAGGUUCAGUCCAUUAUCAUCAAGGUGGGAACAUGGCAGCAUCCAGGCAGGCAUGGUGCAGGAAGAGCUGAGAGUUCUACAUCUUCAUCUAGAGGCUGCUAGCAGGAUGCUGACUUCCAGACAGCUAGGAUGAGGAUCUUGAAGCCCACACCCAUGGUGGCACACCUACUGCAAAAAGGCCACACCUUCUAAUAAUGCCACUUCUGGACAGAGCAUCUACAAACCAUAACACACAUGAUUUUAAAAUGUUGAAGUUCCAGCUGGGGCAGAGCUAGAGCUCCAGAACCCCUCUCACACUCAGAGACAGUUUAACUCCCAGGAGAUUCGUCACAAUCAGGCUCACAGGUGAGACAACCUCCCUCACCCCUGUCACAAUACCAGGCCUAACUGGGACCCCCCAUGGGGCCCAUUAGAAGCAAGACCUAUCCACCUGCAAAACUUCUGGUUCACAACUGCACUGGAGUAGAUCAGGUGCUACAGAACCCCUGUACCCACAACAUCCACACUCAGAUACAGAUCAACUCCCAGAGCUCCACCAUAACCACAUUUGCGGAGACAGCCUGAUUUAACAAGGUCCAUCAUAACCAGUCACAAAGGAGGGAGAGGAUCCAGUCAGAGACAGCAAAGCCAGUUAACACCUGACAUAACUAGAUGGUGGGAGGCAAGCACAAAAACAUAAGCAACAGAAACCAAUGCUACUUGGCACCAUCAGAACCCAGUUCUCCUAACACAGCAAGCCCUGGAUUCCCCAACACAACUGAAAAGCAAGAUUCUGACCUAAAAUUCCAUCUCAUGAUAGACUCCCUUAAAGAAACACAAGAGAACACAGGUAAACAGGUAGAAUCCCUUAAAGAGGAAACUCAUAAAUCCCUUGAAGAAAUACAGGAAAACACAAUCAAACAGGUGAAGGAAUAAAACAAAACCAUCCAGGAUUUAAAAAUGGAAAUAGAAAUAAUUAAGAAAUCACAAAGGGAGGUAACCCUGGAGAUGGGAAAACUGGGAAAGAGAUCAGGAGUUACAAAUGCAAGCAUUACCAAUAGAAUACAAAAGAUAGAAGAGAGAAUCUCUGGCAUAGAAGACAUCAUAGAAGAUAUUGACACAGCAUUUAAAGAAAAUACAAAGUGCAAAAAGUACCUAACCAAAAAUAUCCAGGAAAUUCAAGACAAAAUGAAAAGACCAAACCUAAGGAAUAGAAGAGAGAGAAGAUUCCCAAAGCAAAGGGCCAAGAAACAUCUUCAACAAAAUCAUAGAAGAAAACUUCCUUAACCUAAAGAAAGAGAUAGCUAUUAAUGUACAAGAAACCUAUGUACAAUAAAACCUCUGGUUUUAUUUCUGUAUAAUCUAUUUCCCGAUUAGCCCCUGGCCGUUGACCCCGAUUCAGGUUCCUUGACUGGGGCCUGAGGAGUUCUAAGUCUGGCAGGUGGCUCAGUCUGAGACACCUGAUCAACCAAGGGUCCUAAGUCAGAUACUUUGUACCCUGCCCCUCACAGCAAUUCCUUCAGCUUUCAGUGACCAGGUGUGAAGCUUGAUGAGUCUGAUGGAUGAGUUGCUUAGCAAUCUCCUUAGGGUGGUGCAGCCUUCAGAGGUCAGCAACCAUCCGUCUCUUCUGUAAAACCCUCAGCACUUCCCCUGAUGUCAUUUGUCUUCAGCAGUAUAUUCAGAAAUGGCUGGGAGUGCAGGGGACAGCAAAGCUACUAGGAUGUUUGCAGUGGAAGCUUGGGUGGCCUCCCUAUUGGUUUCACCAGCUAGCCUGUUCCCCUGGGCUGUUUCUGAUGUCCCCUUUCUGAUACCCAGGGCAGUGAAUUAUGGCUACUUUCAGAGGAAGCCAUAAUGCCUCCAAUAAGGCAAGUAUUUCCUUCCGCAGUCAAUAAUUCCAUCUGCUGUCAGUGUAAAUGUUAACUAUGCCUCCUUUUGCCAGUUUCAAUGCCUGGGUUAGAACCUUUAGUUCAGCUUUCUGGGCUGAAGUUCCCGGCAGCAAAUCAGUUGGCCAAAUAACGGAGUCCAAGUCCAUUACUGCCGCCCCUGCAUACCUGAUUCCAUUCUGGAUGAAGCUGGCCCAUCCGUGAAGUAGAUAAGUUCAGUGUCUGGCCAGGAUCUGUCAGUCAAUUCCGAUAUGAUGUUCUGGAUGUGCUCCAGAACUAUCGAACAAUCAUCCUGUGUGUCUGAGGACGGAUCAGGUAGCGGGGUGGCUGGGUUUAGGGCAGAUGAUGGGUUAUAUCUUAUGUGAGGGGGAUUCAAAAGUAAAGCCUGAAAGUGUACCAGUUUGGCCUUAGACAGCCACUAGCUGGGUGGAUCCCUGGGGGGUCCCUUCAAUAGAAUGGGGGAUGUUGAUAACAAGUUCCUGCCCCAAGGUUAUUUUAUCAGCAUCCGGGCAGUAGCAGCUAUAAUCCCGAGGCAGGCUGGUCAUCCUUGGGCCACGAGGUCCAACUUCUUAGAUAAAUAAGCCACAGGUCUUUUCCAUGGUCCCAAAGUUUGGGUAAGCACCCCCUUUGCUCUCUCCUUUCUCUGAUCCACAUACAGGUGGUAAGGUUUGUGAAUGUCCGAGAGAGCCAAGGCCAGCAUCUUAAAAGCCAUGCCCAUCUCAGGGGUCCAUUCUCUUCUUGGGCCCUGGUGGCCUCAUAUAAUGGUUUGGCUAACUCAGUGACCCUUGGCACCCAAAGAUCCCAAAAAUUCCUGUACUUGCCUUUGGGUUGAUGGAACUGGGAUGCUAAGGAUGUUUUGCUUUGGGGGCAUCUGACAGCAUGCAUUGGCUGGCCCUCCUCAGAUAGGGGACCUCAAGUUGACCAAGUUGGGCCUUCUUAGCAGACACUCAGUAGCCAAGUUGACUCAGCUCCUGAAGCAGGUCUUGUGUGCCAUGUGGUGAUAUAUGGCACUUGGUCCAAGUGGCCCCAAGUCUCAUAGACUAAACUUUCACCUUGCAAAUGAUGGGGAGAUGGAAAGUCCCCUCCUCAGGCCAUGAGCGGGCCAUUCAUUCCUGCAAAAGAUGGUUAGUUUGAGGGGACUAGCAAUCAGACCCAAGUGACUCAGUGAAAGAAUCCUUAAUAUGGUUCAGGACCAAGCCCAGUGAGGUGCUUUGUACUUGUCCCAUCCUAGGAAUCAAAGAAAAAAAUUGUAUGAGAGGAUAAGAAGCAGAAACAGAAUACACACAGACAGACACAGGAGGACAGAAUACACACAGACAGACACAGAAGAACAUUCCUAGGAAAACAAAAACAAACUGAAAGCCUAUCUCAGACUGUCUGUCUCCUUGCACAUGGAAACCCAUAGACCCACAGCCAGUUCAGAAUCCAGAUGGGAAGCAACAAGGCCUCCAUCUUCUGGUAAGGGGUCGGGAGCAUCUUCCAUUGCUCCUGGCCAGGUGACAAAAUACAGGUCCACUUUGUUCCUCUCAGCCUCCAAAUUAAACCCAAAACAAAUACAGAUAUGGAUAAGACGAAAGAAAACUGGGUGCCUGGACUUACCAUCAGAAAAACACUCUACUAUUUGGGUCGGGGUGGGGGGUGUCUCCAGUGAAUCCUAGGACAAGCCUCCACAUGCAAAGGUCCGUGAUUCCCUGAAGAAUGAUACCCUACAUUCAAAUAGUAUGUAAAUGCUGAGAGUUUUAUUCUGCAGAGGUCCAGCAUGCUGGGGUCUUCAAUUAUCAAAAUAGAGAGACAAUCAAGUAAGCUUGCAGGCCUGAUUUAAAGCACAUUAGGGAAUUCUGGGGUAAGUGACUGCUAUGUUAAUCUGUUGGGUCCACCUCUAUGGAGAGUCCAUUACUGGGGCCUGGGGGCUAGAAACAAAAUACAAAAGAGCCAGAUAUAGUGUCUUAUACCUAUAAUUCCAGCAUUGGGGAGGCUGAAGCAGGGGGAUUGCUGUGAGUUUGAUGUCAGUCAGGCUAGAAUUUGAGAACUUGUCUCAAAGAAUAAAAUGUUCUAUGAUGUUUCCCUUCAUGGUAAACUCUUGCUUCCUAAUUUCUUUGCAAUAUGUCCUGCUUUCUGUAGUGUCCCUAUAAAAGAAUUUUUUCUGCUUCUGUUUGUGUCUCUUAGCUUUUCUUGGAAGCCUUUAACUAUCUAGUGUUUUUGAGUGCCUUUACAUAUUAAAACAACAACAACAACAACAAAUAAAAAAAAAACCAUGCAGGAGCUGAUGGGGGACUGCUUCCUUCUGGGAACCAGGUCCUGAACGGCCUUGACUUUGUGCCAGUGAUGUAGAUCUUUUCAGUGGGAUGGGACCACUUCAUUCUCCAACCUAGGCUUUAAGUUUCAUUGCUGUUCAAAGGUAGAUGGGGAAAGGAGCCUAGAGUAGCACACUGUUCAGCAGUCAGUCUGGUCUGCUUCUGAGCCAGUGACUGUGUUGUUUAUUUCCAGGUGUAAGUGCUAACCCACUAAAGGAGGGUUGGAAUCACAACCCAAUCUCUCCUUUGUCUGCUUUGUCCUUGCCCCUGGGCUUUCCAACGCUUGAGCAUUUCCAGAGAUCCUGGGCAACUCCAUCUGCUUCCCAGCCAGAGAACCACCUAGAAGCAUGCACUUUGAGCCCUGUACCCUGCUGGGCUCAUCCUCUUUAUAAUGUGUAUAUUUUAUGGCUUAUGGCAACAGCUGCCUCCUAUUGCUGGUGAAGAACUGGUGUUGCUGUUUCUUCUUGUACUUACUGUUGUGGGUGCCUCUGAGAGCAGAAAUGAUCAUCCUAACAUCGUGCACCAGGAGUGGGGUUUUUGUCCUUUCAGCUGGCUAUUAAAGGACUCUCUCCUUUCCACAGUGCCUGAGUUUGGUUCCCUUAGUGUUUCAAGGUCAUCCUGACGAUUUACUAAGUUGAGUUAUCUUAAACGACAGACAUCAAGUAUUACCUAAAGACACCUAGCAUUUCUGGGAGGCGAUUGGGAGAUAAAAUAACCAGAGCCCAGGUCCCAGGGCCUUUCACUAUGUAGGCGCUUCUUGGAUCGGUAUUUCUGUUCCUUGCAGCGGGUUUAACUCUCUUCAGUUUAUUUUUCAAUCUAUUAAUCUGGUACAAAAAAUAAAAAAAGAACGGUCUGAAGUUCAACAUGUUAAGAUGUUUUCAACUCAGUUUUCUCUCUCAUCAGCUGCAGGGUUGGGGGGGGGGUCGGCCCAAGAGUGGGGAUGGGGGGUGAGGGUGGGUGGACUUGAGUGAUGAGAAUAUGCUUAGAGCUGUUGACGAAAUUAUUGAUGAUUUCUUUAAGAAUUUAACAGUCCAUUUGCUUAUUUAUUGAAUUUGUCAAACUGGCUUUAAGUGCCAGGCAAAACGCAUGCUGAUUCCAAAAUGAAGAAACCCCAAUUUUGUGCCAACAGGUUAGCAGGGGAGGCAGGCACAGGAGUACAUCACUAGGACCCAAGGUGGCUAAGUGUAAAGAGAUGCAGUAUGGGAGUACAGACCAUAAACAAAUACCCCAGCCUGGGAGCAUGGUGACGCGAUGAGGCUUGCUCGCCUAAGGGGUGGUGGCAACAGUUACUGAAAGAUCAGGGGAUGCCUGAAGGGGUGUUAGAGAACAGGCAUAUCCAGAGAUCACAGAAGAGUUAGUGUUGUUCUGGAGGGCAAAGGCAAUUUUGAAUGUAUGGACUGCCUUAAAGACUCACAGUCUACUCACAUGAGGCGCAGUUCUCCUUCCAGUCCCUAGACACGUGUACGUUCGAGGGACUCUAAAUUCUUAAGAUGCCAGAUGUGGUGGAUACAUCUGUCGUAUGAAUUGGGUAUAGUGUCCAGGGAAGUGUGCACAUUUACACUUGUGUAUGUGUAGGUGUGCUUGGGCUCUGUCAUCUUUGGCUGGUUUCACUGUCUUUUUCCCCUUAGCUGUUUCAGUCUGACCUCUGCCACUGGUCUAUUAGAUUAGCGUAUAAUCUAAUAUGCAUGUAUAUAUUAUACAUACAAAUAUACAAUAAUGUGGUCUAUUGGGUUACACUCUGCUGUACUUCUCUGUGACGUCUCUGUGUGAUUCUCUAGGAAAACAGCUGCCGUGCUCUGUGAAAAUCCUUGUGCUCUGGCUGAUACCACAAAGCAGACUUCUUUGCUGUGAGCUGGUUCUGACUGCCCCUGGAUUUCCUGAGAAGGUGUUCCUGCCCGAGGCUGUGAGGGAACUGAGACACAGCUAUCUCCCUUGAGACAUACAGGGAAUUCUAGCUCAGCACUGAAACUCGGCUGCUGAGGUUAACAUGAAUUUUCCUAAUUAGACUGUUCAUAAAAGAGGAUGUCCCAAUCACCGGAGGUUUCAGACUUUCUUUAGAAUCCAGGGCAAGCUGAUGGGGACAUCACUCAAAGCUGCUCCUAUUGGGGCAGCUGCACGUAGCUCCCCUUUAUGGAGGCUAUAAAGGUUGCUAUGGCCUGCUGCUGUAGGAGGAAGCUUCUCUGAUGUUGUCUGAGCAAGAUGAAGUCUGAUCUAUGGGCUGGAGCGAGCACUGACUGCUUUUCCAGUGGUCCUGAGUUCAAUUCCCAGCAACCACAUGGUGGCUCACAACCAUCUGUAAUGAGAAUCUGAUGCCCUCUUCUGGUGUGUCUGAAGACAGUGACAGCGUACCCACAUACAUGAAAUAUAAAUAAAUAAAUCUAAAAAAGACACUGAUCUAUGAGUAUAGCAGAAUAUCGUUAGGAGUUAUUUUAUCACUGUUUUUUUGUUUUUGUUUUAAGAGCAGUAUUAUUUGAUUUUACCCUAUGUCUCUGGGCUGUCUAGUCUCUGGUUCUUGGUCAUCCAAGCAGUGUUGUGUGUGUGUUCCAUCUCCUGAAGUGAGCCUUAAGUCAAAUUCCUGCUUUUCAAGGUCUGUCAGAUGAUUCUGGGCCAGAAGGCUGAUGGUCCAACUUCCUGACAUUAAGCUUAUGAGUUAAGGGCCAGAUAGUAAAUUCAUGGCUCUGAGUUUAUUGUUAGGGUGUUUCCAAGAUAUUUUAAUUAGAUCUGAAAGUAGUUAAUGGACAACAGUCCAGAUUAUUUUAUACAGAUAGACAGUUUUCAAAAACAUCAGAAAUCUAGAGAAUGAGACAUUCAAUGUUAUUUAUUCACUUGUUAUUGAAACACAUCUGCUCCUAACAGCUCCUCAAUCAUGGAUUCAAAGAAGCAGCUGAGCAUCUCUACCUCCAAGUGAGGUGGUACAUUGUGGUUAGGUAGCCACUGGGCAGAAAUUGCCUCUCUCUCCUGCAGACCUGUACCAUCCUUCAGAGGACACAAGUUUAGAUUAUUAGGACAGCUUAGUUCUGCUGAUACAGAAUAAGCUAGUCCUUAAUAAUUCCUGAUUUUCAAAGUCUGUCAGAAUAUCCUAGGCCAGAAGGUUGAGGACUGUUGCUUCAACUUCCUGACUACCUGGGGCUGUAUAGGUACGCAGCUCUCUCUACAAUUUGUCUCAGUUCUGGAAGCUGUGUUGGGCUUCCUACAUUUUCAGAUAAUGUUGGUCAUUCUCGGAUUUCUGACGGGAUUGAAGACUAGUUAUAGUCUCAUAUCCAAUCCAGGCUCUUUAACAUUGAGAAAAUAUAUUUGAGAAGAUGGUUUUUAAGAUAGUACACAAACUAAACCAGAUUAUAACAUGGAUUUAUAAGCCUCUUUUAAGUUAGGAUAGAUAAUAUUGUUCUAUUUAAUUGACAAAAAUAAUGGACCGGGUGUUAGGUGUAUUUUGUACUCUAUAAAUUACAGAAUGAUAGUUGUGCUCAAUUUAUAUCUGAGAUAAAAGGGUCUUUUAAUUGGAUAGAAAGGGGGAAAUGUGGAUGGCCCUGGUGUUGUUUGUAUUUUGAUUUAAUUCAGCUUCUCCAAGAGUGGCUGCCUGGGAUGAGGAGUGACUCAUGUACUCAGGACUUCAUGUGACCCUUCUAAUGAAUUAAAAAAAAAAUCACUGGGCAAGUAGGUGAGACUUCCCGGUCAGAGAGAGGAAGACAAGGGGCAGGAAAGAGACUGACUUUUGUACAGGAGACAGGUGAAGGUCAAAAUGUAGCUAACAAGAGGCCCCCGGUUUAGAUGGUGAAUCUGCCAGAAUAUGCCACCUGCGGAGUUAUAUUUAGUAUAGCUUACAAAAUUAGAAUGCUAGCUGCUGUGCCUAGUGAUUGAGUUAACCUGUUGAUUCUCAACUAAGUUUGUGUGGUAUUUUCUUUCAUGUGGUGACUCAACUGGGUUCCAAAGAGAAAGGUAUGAUUGCAAAGCAUGGGUUUGCAAGAAGCAAACCCUAAAAGGUCAUGGGAAUUUGGAAGUGUGGGGUUGGCAUGUAACGACCCGACAGUGGGACCUUAGGGAGCUGGGUGGAGAGAUUUUGGAGCUCUGGGUCAGAAAGGCGCCAUGAGAAGAGAAUAGGCCAGUGCCUUGCUGGUGAGAGUGUGGAUUGAUAUUUCACACAACAGGCUGGUUCUUGGAUUUCUCUUGGGCUGUACAAAGUAAGGACUUUGUCACAUACCCCUAAGGCUGGGUUUUAUCAGAAACUGUGUGAUCUCUGCCCUUCCAGAAAAUGCUGAUUAUGACUUAAGAGUGUACUCAUGGUGGCAUCUGUAUUAGAUAUUUUAAUUUUGAAUGGUAUAUUGAGGAAAAAAUAAAGAUUUCUGGGGAAAAGUAUCUAAAGAUAGCUGUCACUUAUGUCACUAUGAUGCUUUUUUGUGCAAACUCAAGUUGAGGUAUGCACUCUUUACCCAGCCUAUACUUGUGAACUCUGCACUCUGCUACCCAGCCUAUACUCAUGAGCUGUGCUCUCUGCUACCGAGUUUUGUCUUCGCCAUCACCUAUUUCCCUUCUUUUAAGAAUAUAGAACUCUGGUCACCUUUUUGAGAGAGUGUUGAACAUGGCUACCCAAGACUGCCCAGGUACAAGUUGCAAUUAUUGUUAUUUCUCCCUGUGCCUAUUAGGAUUUUAAUUCAGUCAUAGACCAUGAGGUUAUCAACUUGGCUAUUAGUAGUGUUUGAAGCAAAAAUUCACCAACAAAGACGGAAAGGAAGCAGCAGCUAUAGAAUGGCCAAAGCCAAUUUUUGCUCCAGAUUUUUAGGAAAUGCUAGUUGGUUACUUUGGAGUAAAAUGCAAAGCAAUAAUCCAUUUUCCAAGUAAAAAAGGAGUUAAGCAAAAAUAAAUAGACAUUUAUUUACUUAUGUUGAUCUGAAUUUCAUUCUUUCAUUUCUUUCUGUAGAACUUCUUAGCUGGAGCUAGAUAUCAUCACUGACUAAGAUAAAUGUAGGGAAAUUCAUACUUUAAUCAUUGGCUGUAAUAUUCGAAGAUGAAAUACAGCUUCAUAUCCAAUAACAGAAUUAUUUGCAGGCAUUAUUAGUCCCAAGGGAUAGCAAACAUAGGCCACAUCCGGAUCCUUCUAGAAGGAACGGCAAGUCUGGAGAGGCAAGAGUAGCAAUUCUUGGCAGUUUAAUGAUGGCGCCCAACUCAAGUUCAAAGUGUAAAGCUCUCUGUUGCAGUGGCUCCAAGAAUAUGGAACCCCAAAAGACCUUUAGAGGCUGACUAAAGUUAAUACGGCAUUCAUUUAUUAACCAAGAAAUAUGGGUCUACCAUCUGCCUGGCACCAGGUGUGUAUCUAUCUGCGUGAUGAGCUGCCUGCCGUACGUAUUGACUGAAGGAGCGUGUGGUAAGACUUUGCUCUUCUCCUGGCUAUUAAAGCAGCAUGCUCUGAACUCAGUUUUAGAAACUGUGGGACUUGGGGGAGAGGCAGAGGCUGCAGGGGAAAAUGAGUGUUGUGGCCAAUGAGAGGAUCCCUGUGCCAUGAAAGCGUGUGGCCGAAGAGCUCUGGACUCAUCGCUUGACAUACUGCGCAUUUCAUGGCGUAGAACAUUUACAAUGGCAUGUCUUCAGGUGUGUGUCAUCUGGGAUACAUGCGGUGUAGGGAAAAAUAUGAACAAAAUCAACUCAACUGAUGUUCCGGAUGAGCAUCAGACCUUGGGCCUCCAAUCCAAGAAGAGGUGGUGGCUGAGGGGUUAACCAUGCCAGUUUCCAACUCUGGGACGUGAAAAGAAAAUCUGCAGCAAAAAAAAAAAAAAAUAUAUAUAUAUAUAUAUAUAUAUAUACCAAGCAGACUCCUCAGAUGUGUUCUUAGGAACACGGGCUGCUCUUGUCAAAGACCCGUCACACAUGCAAGGCUAACAGUUUCUUUUUUUUUGCAGUCCUUGAACAAUAACUGCUUUGAGAGGAUGAUUUCACCGCGCAUGCUCAGAGGGAAGCACAUGGCUUGACAGUUCCAGAAAUUUGAACCCUGCCUGGUCAUGAAAAUCACCCUCCUUCAUCCUGAAAAAUUGUCUCUCACUGUCAAAGAUUAACCUGACGGGCAAAGGAGAGGUCAUGAGGGGGUCUCACUUCAUAGUUUGUCAUUACUGUCUGCUAGUUUGGCCUCUGACAUAAUUACCUUUUCUAAUUUAAUAAACAUAUGGAAUUACUUUUUUCUAACCAUGA